AACGUAGGUGGCGAGCGUUAUCCGGAUUUACUGGGCGUAAAGCGUGUGCAGAUGGGGCGGUAAGUGGUGUAUGAAAUCACUCAGCUUAACUGAGCGAGGUUAUGCCAGACUGCCGUUCUAGAGAACGGGAGAGGGACGUGGAAUUCCGGGUGUAGUGGUGAAAUGCGUAGAGAUCCGGAGGAACCCCUGAGGCGAAGGCGGCGUCCUGGCCCUAUCCUGACGCUGAGGCGCGAGAGCGUGGGGAGCAAACCGG
rnacentral:rRNA from 1 species